rnacentral:rRNA from 1 species
AAAGUUGCAAAGCACUUUGAAGAGAGAGUUAAAGAGGACGUGAAACCGGUAGGAUGGAAACGGAUAGAGCCAGCGAAGUCGCUCGUAUUCAGCCAAAGGCCGGUGGCAUCGGUCGGUUGGGUUGCUAAUCACGCCUGACUUGCCUUUUGUUCGCCGGUUGAGGUGCAUUUGCGGGCGUUUGCGCUGAGACUUGCGAGUCAGCUUCUGGACCCGGGCCUAGAGGCCGUCCUCUGGGCGGAACCUUGGCACGGCGACGGUUGUUUGGCCUGCUUGUACCACGGCUUGGCCUACGGACCUGGGCGGCUGUGUCGUCUGCUUGUGACGGCAUCGCAUGCGAUGUCCCACCUGUGGGCGGCUCAGUUGUUUGGCGUUCCCAAGUCGGCUCUCGGUGUAAAAGCUGGUCACCUAUCCGACCCGUCUUGAAACACGGACCAAGGAGUUUAGCGUAUGCGCGAGCCAUUGGGUGUUGAAAACUCACAGGCACAAUGAAAGUGAAGGCCCAGCCGCUGGGCUGACAUGCGAGUUGGCGGCCCUCGGGCCGUCGAUGCAGCAUGGUCCCAUUUCGGUCGCUUGCGACGGAGUGGAGACAGAGCGUAUGCGCUGAGACCCGAAAGAUGGUGAACUAUUCCUGAGCAGGACGAAGCCAGAGGAAACUCUGGUGGAAGUCCGAAGCGAUUCUGACGUGCAAAUCGAUCGUCUGACUUGGGUAUAGGGGCGAAAGACUAAUCGAACCAUCUAGUAGCUGGUUCC